rnacentral:rRNA from 1 species
UGCGAAGGGUGCUAGCGUUGUUCGGAAUUACUGGGCGUAAAGAGUGCGUAGGCGGCUAUACAAGUCAGGGGUGAAAUCCCGGAGCUUAACUCCGGAACUGCCUUUGAAACUGUAUAGCUGGAGUGUUUGAGGGGAUAGCGGAAUUCCUAAUGUAGAGGUGAAAUUCGUAGAUAUUAGGAGGAACACCGGUGGCGAAGGCGGCUAUCUGGCAAACAACUGACGCUGAGGCACGAAAGCGUGGGGAUCAAACAGG